UGGGGAAUCUUGCGCAAUGGGCGAAAGCCUGACGCAGCGACGCCGCGUGAGGGAAGAAGGCCUUCGGGUUGUAAACCUCUUUCAGGAGGGACGAAGCCACUCGGGUUAAUACCCCAGAGGGUGACGGUACCUCCAGAAGAAGCCCCGGCUAACUACGUGCCAGCAGCCGCGGUAAUACGUAGGGGGCAAGCGUUGUCCGGAAUCAUUGGGCGUAAAGCGCGUGUAGGCGGCCAGGUAGGUCUGCUGUGAAAACUCGAGGCUCAACUUCGAGAUGUCGGCGGAAACCAUUUGGCUAGAGUCCGGAAGAGGAGAGUAGAAUUCCUGGUGUAGCGGUGAAAUGCGCAGAUAUCAGGAGGAAUACCCGUGGCGAAAGCGGCUCUCUGGGACGGUACUGACGCUGAGACGCGAAAGCGUGGGGAGCAAACAGG
rnacentral:rRNA from 1 species